UACGAAGGGGGCUAGCGUUGUUCGGAAUUACUGGGCGUAAAGCGCACGUAGGCGGAUCCUUAAGUCAGGGGUGAAAUCCCGAGGCUCAACCUCGGAACUGCCUUUGAUACUGGGGAUAUCGAGUCCGGGAGAGGUGAGUGGAACUGCGAGUGUAGAGGUGAAAUUCGUAGAUAUUCGCAAGAACACCAGUGGCGAAGGCGGCUCACUGGCCCGGUACUGACGCUCAUGUACGAAAGCGUGGGGAGCAAACAGG
rnacentral:rRNA from 1 species